GAUGAACGCUAGCGGCAGGCCUAACACAUGCAAGUCGAGGGGCAGCACAUAAAGUGGUUUACUACUUUUGGUGGCGACCGGCGGACGGGUGCGUAACGCGUAUGCAACCUGCCUCCAACAGGGGGAUAACGGAGAGAAAUUUCCACUAAUACCCCAUAAUAUCAGAAUCGGCAUCGGUUUUGGUUGAAAACUCCGGUGGUUGGAGAUGGGCAUGCGUUGUAUUAGAUAGUUGGUGAGGUAACGGCUCACCAAGUCAACGAUACAUAGGGGGACUGAGGGGUUAGCCCCCCACACUGGUACUGAGACACGGACCAGACUCCUACGGGAGGGAGCAGUGAGGAAUAUUGGUCAAUGGGGGCAACCCUGAACCAGCCAUGCCGCGUGCAGGAAGACGGCUCUAUGAGUUGUAAACUGCUUUUACAAGGGGAUAAAUCGGUGUACGUGUACACCGUUGAAGGUACCUUGGGAAUAAGGAUCGGCUAACUCCGUGCCAGCCGCCGCGGUAA
rnacentral:rRNA from 1 species